CCGAAUUGUCGACACGAGUUGUUGCUGGUCCCCACAUGGGGGCAUGUGCACGCUCUGUUCGCACAUCCACUCACACCUGUGCACCCUCUGUAGUUCUGUGGCCUGUGGGGCUCUGCCCUCUUGCUGUGGUUCUAUGUCUUUACACACACACGUUAAAGAAGUCUGUGGAAUGUACGCCGCGUUUAACGCAAUACAAUA
rnacentral:misc_RNA from 1 species